AUUGAACGCUGGCGGCAUGCUUUACACAUGCAAGUCGAACGGUAACAGGCCGCAAGGUGCUGACGAGUGGCGAACGGGUGAGUAAUGCAUCGGAACGUGCCCAGUCGUGGGGGAUAACUACUCGAAAGAGUAGCUAAUACCGCAUACGAUCUAUGGAUGAAAGCGGGGGACCGUAAGGCCUCGCGCGAUUGGAGCGGCCGAUGUCAGAUUAGGUAGUUGGUGGGGUAAAGGCUCACCAAGCCAACGAUCUGUAGCUGGUCUGAGAGGACGACCAGCCACACUGGGACUGAGACACGGCCCAGACUCCUACGGGAGGCAGCAGUGGGGAAUUUUGGACAAUGGGCGCAGGCCUGAUCCAGCAAUGCCGCGUGCAGGAAGAAGGCCUUCAGGUUGUAAACUGCUUUUGUACGGAACGAAACGGCUCUGGUUAAUACCCGGGGCUAAUGACGGUACCGUAAGAAUAAGCACCGGCUAACUACGUG
rnacentral:rRNA from 1 species